rnacentral:rRNA from 1 species
AACGAACGCUGGCGGCAUGCCUAACACAUGCAAGUCGAACGAGACCUUCGGGUCUAGUGGCGCACGGGUGCGUAACGCGUGGGAACCUGCCCUUAGGUUCGGAAUAACUCCCCGAAAGGGGUGCUAAUACCGGAUAAUGUCUUCGGACCAAAGAUUUAUCGCCUUUGGAUGGGCCCGCGUUGGAUUAGCUAGUUGGUAGGGUAAAAGCCUACCAAGGCGACGAUCCAUAGCUGGUCUGAGAGGAUGAUCAGCCACACUGGGACUGAGACACGGCCCAGACUCCGACGGAAAGCAGCAGUGGGGAAUAUUGGACAAUGGGCGAAAGCCGGAUCCAGCAAUGCAGCGUGAGUGAUGAAGGACUUAGGGUUGUAAAGCUCGUUUACCCGGGAGGAUAAUGACAGUACCGGGAGAAUGAGCUCAGGCUAAGUCCGUG